rnacentral:antisense_RNA from 2 species
CUUCAGCGACCCGAGCCACAACGGCGUCUCGCGGCUCUUGCCGUAGGUGGCCAGCAGGGCCUGGGCCUC